CAGCAGCCACGGGAAUACAGAGGGUGCGAGCGUUAAUCGGAUUUACUGGGCGUAAAGCGUGCGUAGGCGGCUUUUUAAGUCGGAUGUGAAAUCCCUGAGCUUAACUUAGGAAUUGCAUUCGAUACUGGGAAGCUAGAGUAUGGGAGAGGAUGGUAGAAUUCCAGGUGUAGCGGUGAAAUGCGUAGAGAUCUGGAGGAAUACCGAUGGCGAAGGCAGCCAUCUGGCCUAAUACUGACGCUGAGGUACGAAAGCAUGGGGAGCAAACAGGAUUAGAGACCCCGGUAGUCCCUGUCUCUUAUAA
rnacentral:rRNA from 1 species